CCUACGGGAGGCAGCAGUGAGGAAUAUUGGUCAAUGGGCGGGAGCCUGAACCAGCCAAGCCGCGUGAGGGAAGAAGGUACAGCGUAUCGUAAACCUCUUUUGUCAGGGAACAAAGGCGGGGACUAGUCCCCGGAUGAGGGUACCUGAAGAAAAAGCAUCGGCUAACUCCGUGCCAGCAGCCGCGGUAAUACGGAGGAUGCGAGCGUUAUCCGGAUUACUGGGCGUAAAGGGCGCGUAGGUGGGUGCUUAAGUCAGGUGUGAAAACUCUGGGCUCAACCUGGAGACUGCACUUGAAACUGGGUAUCUUGAGGGCAGGAGAGGAAAGUGGAAUUCCUAGUGUAGCGGUGAAAUGCGUAGAUAUUAGGAGGAACACCAGUGGCGAAGGCGACUUUCUGGACUGUACCUGACGCUGAGGCGCGAAAGCGUGGGUAGCGAACGGGAUUAGAUACCCUAGUAGUC
rnacentral:rRNA from 1 species